rnacentral:rRNA from 1 species
GUGCCUAACACAUGCAAGUCGAACGAGAAAGUUCCUUCGGGGACGAGUAGAGUGGCGCACGGGUGAGUAACGCGUGGGUAAUCUGCCCUAGGGCGGGGGAUAACUUCUAGAAAUGGAAGCUAAUACCGCAUACGUCCGCUCCUUUGCGGAGGAGUGGAGAAAGGUGGGGAUCUUCGGACCUGCCACCCUUGGAUGAGCCCGCGUACCAUUAGGUAGUUGGUGAGGUAAAAGCUCACCAAGCCGAAGAUGGUUAGCUGGUCUGAGAGGAUGAUCAGCCACACUGGGACUGAGACACGGCCCAGACUCCUACGGGAGGCAGCAGUGGGGAAUAUUGCGCAAUGGAGGCAACUCUGACGCAGCAACGCCGCGUGUGUGAAGAAGGCUUUCGGGUCGUAAAGCACUGUUGAGUAGGAAGAGAAGGGAUAGGUUAAUACCCUGUCCCCCGACGGUACUAUUCGAGGAAGCAC